GAACGCGGGUGGGCGGGGGCUCUGGCCGCGCGCCCCCUGCAGCAGCUUCCUCUCCCCCCCCGGCCUCGUGCGGGGCCUGUGCUUCUAGAGCCUGGGAAAUUUCCCAAACUCUGGGAAUUUUUGAGUAAAAUGUUUCAAAUUGGGAAUUUUCAUUCAAAACCUAAAUAAUACUGGGAAAUUUUCAUAAAAAGUAGAAGACUUUCCAAAUCUCAAACAUCCUGGGAAGUUUUCAUAAGUAAAAUAUUUGCGCUUUUUAAAUUUCCCUCAAAAUGCGUUCUUCAAUUGGUGAAUAUUUGCCACGUGGUUUUGGGCUGUGCUGCUCUCCUGUUGGUGGAGCUUCAACAUAGGGAUAGCUCAGUGGUUUGAGCAUUGGCCUGCUAAACCCAGGGUUGUGAGUUCAAUCUUUGAGGGAAUGGGGGUAAAAAAAUCUGUCUAGGAAUUGGUCCUACUUUGAGCAGCGGGUUGGACUAAAUGACCACCUGAGGUCCCUUCCAACCAUAAUGGUCUAUGAAAAAAAAAAUGACAGUAGUGACAAGUAUAUGCACACAGAACAAACCAACCCCAGCAACAGCUGGCUGGCAGGUAAUGAGGAGAUGGUUAUCAAAGUUAUCUUCUAGUUGCUCAGAGAAUGUGGACCAGAGCAUUUGGCUGUUCAUAAACUUGUGACAGCACCUUCCUCCAGGCAAAUAUUAAAUAUCUUCACCUACUGUGUUAGAGAUCUCGUCACAUUUUUUAUCUAACAUAAAAAAUGAAUAAAGAGACAGCUAAGGCUGGUGAGAAGAGAACUGCAGUAGUAGACAAAGAUCCAUCCACAUUGAAAUGAAAACAACAGGAUAGCACCCCCAACAGAGUAUUGAAGAUUUGGGGUGAACUUCCACCAAAAGAGAAGCCAUCUACUUUCAAAAAAGCCUUUCAAGACUCGUGGCUUCAAGAAGGUAAAUACAAAGACUGGCUGCAGAAAGUAGAAAACAAUUGUUUUUUAGCUUAUUGCAAAUGUUGUGAUGUAAAAAUCCAGGAAGGUACUAGUGAGUUAGAUAAGCACGCAAAUGGUAAAAGACAAACAAAAGGUUGAGACAGUAUCUAAUACAAAGAAAACUGAUAUGUUUAAUAAACAAGAUUGUAAAAUUAUAAAAGCACAAACAUUUCAAGAGCAAGUUAAAAAUGCAGAGAUUAGAAUGGCUUGUUAUUUUGCUGAACACGUCAGUAUUCAAUCUGUAGAACACUUGACUGAAGUAGUUAAAAAAAUGUUUCCCUGACUCCAAAAUUGCUGAGGCUGUAACAUUAAAGAAAGAUAAAUGUACUGCUAUAGUUAGCAAUGUUUUGGUGCAAACUGAGACUGAGGAACGUGUAGAAAAAUUGAAAGUUAAUGAAUUUAGAUUAUUCAGGUCAAUUCAUGUUUGCAAAUAUAUCUAAACUGGCUAAAAAGGUUUUCACAUUACCACAUUCAAAUGCAGCAUAUGAAAGAAUUUUUUCCAUGGUAACUGACAUAAAAACCAUAAAAAGAAACUGUAUGACAACCAAAACACUCAAUUCUAGUGUAGUUAUAAGGUCAACUUUGAAAGCAAAGCAAGAGAAAUGUUCUAAUUUUGUAAUUACUAUUAAGCACUUGUAUUCACAUUGUAAAAAUAUGUACAGUAAAAAUGACAGUGAUAAAACUAGUAAAAAUAUUAAUGAUGGUAAUGAUGUUUCUAGUGACGAUUCAGACCAUGAGUUAGAAAAUGGAUAAAACUCAGAUUAUAAUAAGGAAAAUUAUAUAAAAGUGUUAUUUGUUCUUUGUUUGCUUUUUUAUCUUAUUUUAUAAACAUAUGUUUACUUUUUAUUUUUUCAAAGUAACUGAUGUACAGUACACUGCAGGGCACAUGCUGUACUUAAUACUUUUUUUUUAAAAUAGUGAAAUUUGUGUAAAAUACAUUGUUUUCUAUC